GAUGAACGCUGGCGGCGUGCCUAAUACAUGCAAGUCGAGCGAACAGACGAGGAGCUUGCUCCUCUGACGUUAGCGGCGGACGGGUGAGUAACACGUGGAUAACCUACCUAUAAGACUGGGAUAACUUCGGGAAACCGGAGCUAAUACCGGAUAAUAUAUUGAACCGCAUGGUUCAAUAGUGAAAGACGUUUUUGCUGUCACUUAUAGAUGUAUCCGCGCCGCAUUAGCUGGUUGGUAAGGUAACGGCUUACCAAGGCAACGAUGCGUAGCCGACCUGAGAGGGUGUGGGACCACGAGAGGACGGAGAAACGGCCCAGAACGUUAGGGGAGGAAGGGUUAGGAAAUGUGCCACAAUGGGCGAAAGCUUGAGAGAGCAACGCCGAGAGAGUAAAAGAGGGUUGAGUACGAUAAAACUCUGUUAUUGGGAAAAAACAAAUGGGUAAGAAAUUAUGAGCGAAUUGACGGAACAAAACGAAAAAGCCACGACUAAUUAGGC
rnacentral:rRNA from 1 species